UGUCGGGAGUUAAGAAAUGUAAGGAUGUUAAUAGCAUCUUUACUUGACUAAGGCUCCGGAGGAAGCCACGGCUAACUCUGUGCCAGCAGCCGCGGUAAUACAGAGGCGGCAAGCGUCGUUCGGAAUUAUUGGGCGUAAAGAGCACGUAGGCGGCUGUGUAAGUCGGUUGUGAAAGCCUUCCGCUCAACGGGAGAACAGCAUCCGAUACUGCAUGGCUUGAGUGCGGGAGGGGAGAGUGGAACUUCUGGU
rnacentral:rRNA from 1 species